ACCAGCAGCAAUAUCACCCUGUAGCCCAAGACUGGUUGCCCACUGAAGCUAAGCAGGGCUGAGCCUGGUCAGUACCUGGAUGGGAGACCUCCUGGGAAAACUAGGUUGCUGCUGGAA
rnacentral:rRNA from 1 species